UAUUAAAAAACCUUUUAUGAAAAUAUGACAAAAUGAGAUACGCUCUUUUGGCUUAGGAGGGCAGUAUAAGGGAACUAAAAUUAAAAUAUGAAAAGUAAACAUUUUGUAAGUGGAACAACCACCAGAUAUUUAAAAGGUAUAAAAAGAAGAAACUGCUGGAAUUUCAAAACAAAUGUGUUUGACUAGUAAAGAUUUGGAUAAAUAACAGGAGUUACUUUGGGCUAUAGCUACGUGCAGAUUUAUUUCCUUGUGGCUUCCUAUGUUAAUUCUUGUUAAUUAUACACUUAAAUAUGUUUUUAGUCUCAGGAAGAUUUUAUAUUUGAUUAUUUUUGAAUAAACAUUAUUAUUAUUAUUACCUUAAUUUCCAUUAAAUAAAUUGACUGUAAUCAAUAAAGUAAUCGUUUAAUUGUUAAUAAAUUAUCAAGUAUGA